rnacentral:lncRNA from 1 species
UAAUAUGCAACAAUAGGGUUUUAUUUCUAUUUAGUAAAAAAAAAAAUUUUUUGUCAUUUGUUUUUGGUGUCGUAUCUAAGAAGCCAUCGCCCUGCUCAAAGGCACAAAGAUUGCCUCCUCUGUCUUCUCCAGGAAUUUUUGUAAUUUGAGCUCUUACAUUUAGAUCUUCAACCCAUUCUGUGAAUGGUGUAAGGCAGGAAGGAGUCCAAAUUCAUUCUUUUGCAAGUAGCCAGCAGAUUGUCCUAGUACCAUUUGUUUAAAAAAAAAAAAAACUAUUUGCCCUCCAUUGAAUUCUCUUGGAAUCCCUGUCAAAAAAAUUAAUUGAUAUCAUAUGUUAGUUCUAUUUGUAAUUUUUGGAGGAGCCUCCAAAGUGUUUGCCACGAUUGCUACACUGUUACAAUCUCACCAGAAACAAAAAAGCAUACCCUCUUCUCCACACCUUCAUCAAUACUUGGUAUCUUUUGUUUUUUAAAUAACAGAGCCAUCCUGGUUAGUGUAAGGUGAUAUCCCAUUUCCAGGUAUAUAUUCAAAGGAAAUGAAAAUCAGGAUCCCAAAGAGACACCUGCCCGCCCAGGUGCGUUGACACAUUCUUCUCCGUAGCCAGGACACAGAGGCCACUGGUGCACAUCCGUGGGUGGAUGAGGAAGAAAAUGUGGCCCGUAUGUACGAUGGCAUGUUAAAAAGACAAAGAAGGACAUCCUGUCCCUUGAGACAGCAGAGAUGAACCUGGAGGACCUUCCGCUAAUUAAAACAAGCCAGACACAGAAGUUCAAAAGCUACAGGAUUCCUCUUACAUCAGGAAUUUUAAAUAGUCAAACUCAUAGAAGCAAAGAGUAGACGAGUAGAUGCCAGGAGUUGAGGUUGGGGGAAGGGGAGAUGUUGAUUAAAAAAUAUAUAUACAAAGCUUCAAGCUGGGCAUAAUGGUGUAUGCCUGUAGUCCCAGCAACUCAGGAGGCUGAGGCAGAAGGAUCACAAGUUUGAGGCCAGCCUCAAAAAACUUAGCAAGGCCCUUUCUCAAAAUAAAAAUAUUUUUAAAGAGCUGGGGGUAUAGCUUAGUGGUUGAGGGCUUGCCAAACAUGCAC